AAUAGAUACCCCGGUAGUCCACGCCGUAAACGAUGAGUGCUAGGUGUUAGAGGGUUUCCGCCCUUUAGUGCUGCAGCUAACGCAUUAAGCACUCCGCCUGGGGAGUACGGCCGCAAGGCUGAAACUCAAAGGAAUUGACGGGGGCCCGCACAAGCGGUGGAGCAUGUGGUUUAAUUCGAAGCAACGCGAAGAACCUUACCAGGUCUUGACAUCCUCUGACAACCCUAGAGAUAGGGCUUUCCCCUUCGGGGGACAGAGUGACAGGUGGUGCAUGGUUGUCGUCAGCUCGUGUCGUGAGAUGUUGGGUUAAGUCCCGCAACGAGCGCAACCCUUGAUCUUAGUUGCCAGCAUUCAGUUGGGCACUCUAAGGUGACUGCCGGUGACAAACCGGAGGAAGGUGGGGAUGACGUCAAAUCAUCAUGCCCCUUAUGACCUGGGCUACACACGUGCUACAAUGGAUGGUACAAAGGGCUGCAAACCUGCGAAGGUAAGCGAAUCCCAUAAAGCCAUUCUCAGUUCGGAUUGCAGG
rnacentral:rRNA from 1 species